UUUGUGUUCUUCAACAAUGAUGACCGGUUUUUCUCUAUCAGACUCUAUGUUCCUGAAUGGUAUAUCGGACAUCUUGACUCGUGAAAAAAUAUUCUAUUACUAAACAAUUUAUUUUUUGGUGAGUUAAGUGGAAAGGUUAAUUAUAGUACAUGUAUGAUAUAGGUAAAACAUGUACAGGUAUGAUGUAGGUAAAACAUAUUUACAGGUAAAUGUGGCGCAAUUUCAUUUCAUUUAUUGGCG
rnacentral:lncRNA from 1 species